UUUCUCCAAGACAGAUGAGUCAGUCAGCAGCAGCAGCCCUAACAUCCUGUACCAGCAUAACUUCCCCCACCCGGUCCCGUUGAAAAAGGUACCUUUCCAACAUCACGGCUCUUGGCUCUGAGCUUGUUGACCUGAGACUCAGCGAUGUCAGCACGCU